CGGACGGGUGAGUAACGCGUGGGUAACCUGCCCUGUACAGGGGGAUAACAGUCAGAAAUGACUGCUAAUACCGCAUAAGACCACAGCACCGCAUGGUGCAGGGGUAAAAACUCCGGUGGUACAGGAUGGACCCGCGUCUGAUUAGCUGGUUGGUGAGGUAACGGCUCACCAAGGCGACGAUCAGUAGCCGGCUUGAGAGAGUGAACGGCCACAUUGGGACUGAGACACGGCCCAAACUCCUACGGGAGGCAGCAUG
rnacentral:rRNA from 1 species